GACGAACGCUGGCGGCGUGCCUAAUACAUGCAAGUCGAACGCAGUGGGGACGGGUGAGUAACACGUGGGUAACCUCCCAUCAGAGGGGAUAACACUUGGAAACCGGUGCUAAACCGAUACUGAUGGAUGGACCCGCGGUGCAUUAGCUAGUUGGUGAGGUAACGGCUCACCAAGGCCACGAUGCAUAGCUGACCUGAGAGGUUGAUCGGCCACACUGGAACUGAGACACGGCCCAGACGCCUACGGGAGGCAGCAGGAGGGAAUCUUCGGCAAUGGACGAAAGUCUGAUCCAGCCAUGCCGCGUGUAUGAAGAAGGCCUUCGGGUUGUAAAGCACUUUCAGCGGGGAGGCGUUACCCGCAGAAGAAGCACCGGCUAACUCCGUGCCAGCAGCCGCGGUAAUUC
rnacentral:rRNA from 1 species